ACCUGCCUGGUGGUGGGUGCAGACUUCAAACCUGUAGACUGCUAGCGCCGUAGUUGUUCGAUUC
rnacentral:tRNA from 14 species